rnacentral:rRNA from 1 species
UACGUAGGUGGCAAGCGUUGUCCGGAUUUACUGGGCGUAAAGGAUGCGUAGGCGGACAUUUAAGUCAGAUGUGAAAUACCCGAGCUUAACUUGGGUGCUGCAUUUGAAACUGGGUGUCUAGAGUGCAGGAGAGGAAAGUAGAAUUCCUAGUGUAGCGGUGAAAUGCGUAGAGAUUAGGAAGAAUACCAGUGGCGAAGGCGACUUUCUGGACUGUAACUGACACUGAGGCUCGAAAGCGUGGGGAGCAAACAGG